rnacentral:rRNA from 1 species
AUGGAGGCCGCCAGCAACAGUUCUGGACUUGUGACGUCGCUUGGGAAUGCGAGCGUAGAGGAGAGGCGCAACCUCACAGACCGCUCGCCCGUUGAUCCAUCUAUCCUCCCAGAACAGGGCAUGCUGGCCAUUGCCGAUUGUCAUGGUAGUGGAGGCGAAGAAGAACGCGCGCUCCUCAGGCAAGAAUUGCAAGUCAAGGCCGUUCCAAGCCCUGCUAUCAUCGACGCGGCUGAGCCAUUGCUACCACGUGCGCAAGGUGAGGCCGGUGCGCUCGAGGUCAUGGACGCCGAGGCCGCCAAACGGGAUUGGCCGACAGAUGCGCCGCCAGUUGACGUGGGAAUUGCCACCAUUGGCCUCAACACGGCCAGCCCAAAGGAAUCCUCUUUUGAUCUUCUCCAAGAGCUUGAUGGUCUUCCUUGGCGGCGCGAGCACAAGGAGCUGGUGGAUGGGGAUCGCGCUCAGGACAGCCUUGACGAAGGCAAGGCGGCCGGCUUUGUUCAUGAGCCACGCCUUCCAGAAGGGUAA